GACGAACGCUGGCGGCGUGCUUAACACAUGCAAGUCGAACGGAAAGGCCCUGCUUUUGUGGGGUGCUCGAGUGGCGAACGGGUGAGUAACACGUGAGUAACCUGCCCUUGACUUUGGGAUAACUUCAGGAAACUGGGGCUAAUACAGGAUAGGAGCUCCUGCUGCAUGGUGGGGGAUGGAAAGUUUCGGCGGUUGGGGAUGGACUCGCGGCUUAUCAGCUUGUUGGUGGGGUAGUGGCUUACCAAGGCUUUGACGGGUAGCCGGCCUGAGAGGGUGACCGGCCACAUUGGGACUGAGAGACGGCCCAGACUCCUACGGGAGGCAGCAGUGGGGAAUAUUGCACAAUGGGCGGAAGCCUGAUGCAGCAACGCCGCGUGCGGGAUGACGGCCUUCGGGUUGUAAACCGCUUUCGCCUGUGACGAAGCGUGAGUGACGGUAAUGGGUAAAGAAGCACCGGCUAACUACGUG
rnacentral:rRNA from 1 species